rnacentral:rRNA from 1 species
GAUGAACGCAGGCGGCGUGCCUAAUACAUGCAAGUCGAGCGAACGGACUACAAGCUUGCUUCUCUGAUGUUAGCGGCGGACGGGUGAGUAACCCGUGGAUAACAUAUCUAUAAGACUGGGAUACCUUCGGGAAACCGGAGCUAAUACCGGAUAAUAUUUUGAACCGCAUGGUUCAACAGUGAAAGACGGUGUUGCUGUCACUUAUAGCUGGCUCCGCGCUGUAUUAGCUAGUUGGUAAGGUAACGGAUUACCAAGGCAACGAUGCAUUGCCGCUCUGGGAGGGAGUGCGGCCACACUGGACCGCAGACUCUGUCCAGACUCCUACGAGAGGCAGCAGUAUGGAAUCUUGCGCAAUGGGCGAAAGCCUAACGGAGCAACGCCGCGUGGGUGAUGAAGGUCUUCGGAUCGUAAAACUCUGUUAUUAGGGAAGAACAUAUGUGUAAGUAACUGAGCACAUCUUGACGGUACCUAAUCAGAAAGCCACGGCUAACUACGUG